CUGUGACCGCUAAUAGCUGAUAAUAGCUGAAGAUUUUCAAAAAGCUGAUAAUCAGCUCAAAAGCUGACCUGUGGACGUGAUGAUUUCCUCAAAUAACAGCUCUUAGAUAGCCUCUUAGUUUUAAACAACUAAAUUCAUUUUUUUUUUUCGAUUUCUUCUUUUUCAACAGUCAUAACAAUGUUGGCUGACAUAAGUUGGCUGUUUGGAUGUAUUCGAUACAAAACCGGCUACAUGUUCAUAGCUUUAGUGUGGUAUCUUAUUCCUAUCAGCAUCUGCCUCGAUUAUACGAUCUCCAGCAUAGUGAAAUUAAUGACUGACAUUAAAACUAACACCAAAGACAAUGACAUUUUUGCGGUCACCGUUCUUACCUGUGGCUUCAUCAUUUUUUAUAUUCUUGCUGCUUUGAGCUUUGCAUCGAUGUGGAGAACAACUCACCGGUAUAAUGGAUAAAACAAGGAUUUUACUUAAAAAAAACUUGUAUACCGUUUAUUAGAAAUAAAUUGUUGACACUUUUUUUAAAGAUUGGAUGGAUAUUCAAAUCUUGGAAUAUGUGCCGAAAUAACUUUG